AUACGUAGGUGACAAGCGUUAUCCGGAUUUACUGGGCGUAAAGGGCGUGUAGGCGGUCUUGCAAGUCAGAAGUGAAAUUCCUGAGCUCAACUCGGGCGCUGCUUCUGAAACUGCAGGACUUGAGUGCUGGAGGGGAUAGCGGAAUUCCUAGUGGAGCGGUAAAAUGCGCAGAUAUUAGGAAGAACACCGGUGGCGAAGGCGGCUAUCGGGCAUGUAACUGGCGUUGAGGCGCGAAAGCUUGGGGAGAAAACAGGAUUAGAUACCAUGGUAGUCCACGCCGUAAACGAUGGGCGCUAGGUGUAGGGGUCUUCCACGCCUUCUGUGCCGUAGCUAACGCAUUAAGCGCCCCGCCUGGGGAGUACGGCCGCAAGGCUAAAACUCAAAGGAAUUGACGGGG
rnacentral:rRNA from 1 species